AUUUUAAAUCAUCCUAUUCAUAUUGUUUUGUUCUUUUCACCACAGGGCUUAUUAUUCACUUCUGCUUUGAAAAGCACAACCUGGGAGGCCAUAAAAAUGAAAAUAAUGUGAUAGCACUUUUCCCUGCUGAUGGUUGGACAUGCUUGCUACUUACAGUUGAAAAGCAUCACCUUCAAGUUCAUCUCAGGAGGCUUCAUGCCAUGAAAGGAAGAUGAGAACCUGAAAACCAGCUGCAGAAGGAGACACGAGCACCACAAAACCUGAAACAUUUAAUUGGUGAGCCACUUUUAGGAGGAGCCUACCCAGUAACCAAGUCAGAUUUUAAAAGAAUUA
rnacentral:lncRNA from 1 species